rnacentral:rRNA from 1 species
CAGUCGCCACGGUAAUACGUAGGGUGCAAGCGUUAAUCGGAAUUACUGGGCGUAAAGCGUGCGCAGGCGGUUAUAUAAGUCAGAUGUGAAAUCCCCGGGCUCAACCUGGGAACUGCAUUUGAGACUGUAUGGCUAGAGUGUGUCAGAGGGGGGUAGAAUUCCACGUGUAGCAGUGAAAUGCGUAGAUAUGCGGAGGAAUACCGAUGGCGAAGGCAGCCCCCUGGGAUAACACUGACGCUCAUGCACGAAAGCGUGGGGAGCAAACAGGAUUAGAUACCCGAGUAGUCCCUGUCUCUUAUAC